rnacentral:rRNA from 1 species
UACGUAGGGUGCAAGCGUUAAUCGGAAUUACUGGGCGUAAAGCGUGCGCAGGCGGUGAUGUAAGACAGUUGUGAAAUCCCCCGGGCUCAACCUGGGAACUGCAUCUGUGACUGCAUUGCUGGAGUGCGGCAGAGGGGGAUGGAAUUCCGCGUGUAGCAGUGAAAUGCGUAGAUAUGCGGAGGAACACCGAUGGCGAAGGCAAUCCCCUGGGCCUGCACUGACGCUCAUGCACGAAAGCGUGGGGAGCAAACAGG